CGGCUUCGCCCGGCGAGGGGCGGAGCAGGCGCCGGGGUGCGCGCAGGCAAGAGUCUGUGUUAAAGGAACUUCUGCAGGCGGGGUCCGUCCCCAGCGAGCUCCCACACGGCCCCAGCGAGCUCCUACACUGCCCUACACGGCCCCUGCCACUUCUACAGGAUGCUGCUCAAUCAUCCUGCCAGAAAUGGCAUGUUACUGAUUUGCCUUUAGAAUGGGCUAGACUGCACCAAGGGAGAGGUAAUUGGCAGAGAAGAGGAGAGGAACGUCUUGGGGAAAGAUUUACCCCUCCGGAACCUACUGCAAAGUCUUCAUCCCUUCCUCCCCAUGUACAGUCACGCACCUUGGAUUAUAUCAACAUACUCUGAGUAUUUCUUGGAAGCAGCACAUGGACACUUGCAGCUGCUUCAUCUCAGUUUGUUAGCUGAGUGGUGCUGCUGCCUCCCAGCUUGGUUCCUGUUGUGAGAAAACAUAAUUUUUCCAUUAAAACAAAGAACAGAUUUUCCA